UGAGGAAUAUUGGGCAAUGCCCGCAAGGGUGACCCAGCAACGCCGCGUGGAGGAUGAAUGUCGUAAGAUUGUAAACUCCUGUUAGAGGGGAAGAAUAGUACCGGUUGGACCGGUAUAUGACUGUACCCUCAGCGAAAGCCCCGGCUAACUACGUGCCAGCAGCCGCGGUAAUACGUAGGGGGCAAGCGUUGUCCGGAUUUACUGGGUGUAGAGGGCGCGCAGGCGUGAUAAAAAGUCAGUGGUGAAAUCCUACAGCUUAACUGUAGAACGGCCUUUGAUACUCGUAUUCUUGAGUUCGGGAGAGAGAGAGGGAAUUCCAGGUGUAGUGGGGAAAUACGUAGAUAGCUGGAAGAACACCAGUUGCGAAGGCGGUCUCUUGGUCCGACACUGACGCUGAGGCGCGAAAGCGUGGGGAGCAAACA
rnacentral:rRNA from 1 species